CAGGCCAGGCAUUACUCAGUAAUAACUCAUGAAGAAACUCAGUGAAUACGAUAGUGGUGCUCACUUAUUGGCUGAUCUAACUCACAUCACCAGGGCGACUUCGUUAUGCGUGAGUUCUGAGUGCUUAGUUUCGUGAAUUCGAACCGAGUCGCAAAUGAGUUUUGCUUGGGCAAAUCUAGUUUCCUGCGCAAUGCAUGAGUUCUCGCGAAUUCACGUGCAGUUGUGCGUGAGGUACCCCCGGCUUGAAGAUGCGCGCAUGCGCGGCAGGGUGAGUUUCCUGCGUGAUGCGUGAGUUCGCGUGAUGAGUAUUAUAGCCGUUGCGUUCGAAAACCGCGGCGCGCGCUUCAGUCCGUUGUGGCGAGGUGAGUCGCGUAGUUCACGUUGAAUUGUUGAGGCUAUUGUGAAAUUGUGCAGGAGAGUGCAGGAGCGGGGAAGGCGUGCAGCGAAGGAUGGGACGGGAGAGCUUGACGCUGCUGCGAGCACCACAGGGCUACUAGCGGUACUCACGUGCUGCUGGUUUUCUAGAGACGGAUGUUUGCUGAUAUUAGGCUGUUAAGACUGAGCCGUGAUGCAGUGGCCGGUGGGAGUGCCGGCGCCGGUCGUGGUGGACCCGACGCCCAGCGCUCCGCUUCGCGCUGCUACCACACAGGUCUCUGAAUGGAGCUGCGUUCCGGUGGGCUGCUGGCUGCGCUCUCUCGGUCUGGCCCAGUACGCCGACGCGUUCGUCGCCCGCUCUGUGGAUGGCGCCCGGCUUCUGGGGCUCACCGAACAGGCUAUGGAAGACGAGCCCGACGUCGGUCUCGACGUGGCGACCUCGGAGCCAGCGUGUUGGGUCUCGGCUUCCCGCCACUCACCGGCGGACCUUUCCGCUUCGUGGACCGCAUCGGUCCCGCACAGCUAGUCAAGGACAUGGAGCGCUUCGCCGUCGUCAAUGGCGUCGGCUUCGAGCCGUGCCUGACCGUGCACUACCAGGCCGCUAGCGGCACCAAGUUCUGUUCGGCCGGGCCUCGUGUAAUGCCCACAUGUGAUGACCGAGUGUAUACGCAUGUGAAGCCGCUCCGCGUGUGUACCAGCGCUGGGCGUGUUCAGUUUCAAAGUAAAUAUAGAACCCUGGUGAUCAA